rnacentral:rRNA from 1 species
AAGCCUGAUGCAGCGACGCCGCGUGAGGGAUGACGGCCUUCGGGUUGUAAACCUCUUUCAGCAGGGAAGAAGCGAAAGUGACGGUACCUGCAGAAGAAGCGCCGGCUAACUACGUGCCAGCAGCCGCGGUAAUACGUAGGGCGCAAGCGUUGUCCGGAAUUAUUGGGCGUAAAGAGCUCGUAGGCGGCUUGUCACGUCGGAUGUGAAAGCCCGAGGCUUAACCUCGGGUCUGCAUUCGAUACGGGCUAGCUAGAGUGUGGUAGGGGAGAUCGGAAUUCCUGGUGUAGCGGUGAAAUGCGCAGAUAUCAGGAGGAACACCGGUGGCGAAGGCGGAUCUCUGGGCCAUUACUGACGCUGAG